rnacentral:rRNA from 1 species
UACGUAGGGCGCGAGCGUUGUCCGGAAUCAUUGGGCGUAAAGAGCUCGUAGGCGGCCUGUCGCGUCUGCUGUGAAAUCCCGGGGCUUAACCCCGGGCGUGCAGUGGAUACGGGCUGGCUGGAGGCAGGCAGGGGAGAACGGAAUUCCCGGUGUAGCGGUGAAAUGCGCAGAUAUCGGGAGGAACACCGGUGGCGAAGGCGGUUCGCUGGGCCGGUACUGACGCUGAGGAGCGAAAGCGUGGGGAGCGAACAGG